rnacentral:rRNA from 1 species
AACCUCCGCAAUGUGAGAAAUCGCGACGGGGGGAUCCCAAGUGCCAUUCUUAACGGGAUGGCUUUUCGUUAGUGUAAAGAGCUUUUGGAAUAAGAGCUGGGCAAGACCGGUGCCAGCCGCCGCGGUAACACCGGCAGCUCUAGUGGUAACAAUUUUUAUUGGGCCUAAAGCGUCCGUAGCCGGUUUAAUAAGUCUCUGGUGAAAUCCUGCAGCUUAACUGUGGGAAUUGCUGGAGAUACUAUUAGACUUGAGACCGGGAGAGGUUAGAGGUACUCCCAGGGUAGAGGUGAAAUUCUGUAAUCCUGGGAGGACCGCCUGUUGCGAAGGCGUCUAACUGGAACGGUUCUGACGGUGAGGGACGAAAGUUAGGGGCGCGAACCGGAUUUAGAUACCCGGGUAGUCCUAACUGUAAACGAUGCGGACUUGGUGUUGGGGUGGCUUUGAGCUGCUUCAGUGCCGAAGGGAAGCUGUUAAGUCCGCCGCCUGGGAAGUACGGUCGCAAGACUGAAACUUAAAGGAAUU